UGCCAGCCGCCGCGGUAAUACGAAAGGUGCAAGCGUUGUUCGGAAUAACUGGGCGUAAAGCGCUCGUAGGCGGGACUUCAGGUCGAUUGUGAAAGCCCAGGGCUCAACCUUGGAAUUGCAGUCGAAACCGUUGUUCUUGAAUACCUGAGAGGGUGGGGGAAUUCCUAGUGGAGAAGUGAAAUUCGUAGAGAUUAGGAGGAACACCAGAGGCGAAGGCGCCUACCUGGCAGUGUAUUGACGCUGAGGAGCGAAAGUGUGGGUAGCAAACAGGAUUAGAUA
rnacentral:rRNA from 1 species